AUCCCAGUUGUCCUCCAGUACAAGAUAUUAGUGCCUGACUUCAGGUUCACCUGAAACAGCAAGCAGAAAACUGUUUUUACUGUUGUUUGGUGUCUGAUAUGUUAUUAUUGUCCUUUUAAUGCUGCUUUGUGGAUUUUUUUAUGAGCUAUUUGUAUUUAUCAAACCAGCUCAGGGAUAGCAGAUGAUAAGUAACCAUGGGGCUACAUCUGACACAUUUACAUCAUGAAUAUUGAUGCUGAUCAACACAUAUUGUCCUUGUUAGAUGAAUAACUACUAAAACAAUGAAAGCAAGUCUACAUCAAUGAUAUGUAACAGGAGAAAAACAGAAAGCUGACUGACCGUGUGUGUUCCCCAUUCACCGUUAGACGUGAUUUUGAUCCAUUUCUGGUCUGCUGACUGGUCCAUUUCCUGGCACUGAUCAUUCUGAAUCUGGAAGAACAAUCAGAUAGGAUGUACAACACUAUAAAGUACAGUAAUUUCCAGCUUUUCGGGUGUUUUUUAAAGUGUCAGUGUGCAGCCAGCCGGAUGGAUGGAUGGAUGGAAGGAUGGAUGGAUGUGCAAAGGAUGUAAUUUUCAGGUGGACCUGAGAUCAGUUUUCACAUCCACACCUGGCUUCUCACUUUAGCAAACCUUCCAAAAACCUUCUACUUAAAGCGUUAAUCAAACUCACAAAGAAUUCGAAGAAGAUGUUGUUGUCUACAUAUUGGUAGUCGAAGGAGACGGAGCCCUGUUUCAUCAGAUGAACCGCAUACACAAGCGAAACCGUGCAUUCGUCCCGAUUCGACUCUAAGCUCCAUAUAGGUGGCUAAGCUGCUGAAACCAGCAGGAAUGGAGUCCCAUUGGUCAAAACGGACGCCACUACCUAGCGAAUAUGAGCCAGCUGCACAGGCGGUACACUGCUGUGUAGACAUCUCUAAAAACUCUCCCGC